AGGGUGCUGAAACUCAUCAAGAUGGGAAAAAACAGGAUGUCAUGCAUCACAAGUGCUCCAGAAAGUCCCAUGGAAGCUGCACCCUAGGUUGUACAUCUGAUAAUCAUGUUGACACCAUGAGAGGAUAACCGUUUGUAUUAUAGUGGCAGUGACUGCACUUCAGGGACUUCCACUGGCUAACUAUAGCGUCCCUCCAUGUCAUUUCCUCGCAGGAGGGGUGAACUCCACUUCAACUAUUUAUGGACCAAAUCACUGUCAGAGGAUGAUGAACGACUCUCGCUGGGCGUGAGCUGGAAACUCUUCUGUGUGUUGGCAAAUACUCAGAUAAGGAAAAGUCAUAAAAACAAUUGUAUGACCCUAAAGAAUGCACAGGCUCAAGUAAGCUUAAGAUCCGCAUACCUCUUCUUCUUAAAAGACAUUCAUAUGAACAAUUUUUUUCUACAACUUAAAGAAAUAGUGUUACAUUUUUGGUAAUACAGAUAUCUGCUUAAUAGUUAGCUACAGUUAGCUUAGCUUAGCAUAAAAACUAAAGCAGUUAUGGUGCUGACUUAUAAAACCACAAUUUGUCAUUUUUUUCACUAUGAUUUUAAUGCGGAAUGACAAACAGAAUUUAAUGGACUAAUUAAUUAGUGAGCUUUAGAGGUGCUGUAAGGUAGAUUAGUUAGUUGUUUGCCCCUGUUUCCAGUCUUUGUGUACAGCUAAGCUAACCGUCUCCUGACUGGAUGUUGUACAGACAUGAAAGUGGCAUCAAUCUUCUCGUAUAAAACUGAAAACACUCCCCUAGCACACACUGGAUGCAUCGUGCUGCAACUCAAUGACGGCGGCUACAGCAAUGGCUACAGAGUUCUCUCUCUACAUCAAUGGUAAGAAAAGGAGUCGAGCUGCCAUAGGAGCUGCUGCGGGAGCUGGUAUGUACAAGCAGAGAGCAAGUGGGGGGAAAAUGCAUU